UGGAGGUGGCAUUUUUGUUCCUAUGCUUACUUUGCUUCUUGGAUUUGAUACCAAGUCUGCUGCUGCCAUCUCCAAGUGUAUGAUCAUGGGGGCAUCAGCAUCUUCAGUUUGGUACAAUUUGAGAGUGCCCCAUCCAACAAAGGAAGUACCUAUUAUAGACUAUGAUUUGGCUCUUCUAUUCCAGCCCAUGCUCAUGCUUGGCAUCACCAUUGGUGUUUCCUUGAGUGUUGUUUUUCCCUAUUGGCUAAUCACUGUGCUUAUCAUCAUACUCUUCUUAGGCACCUCUUCAAGGUCUGUCUUUAAAGGAAUUGAAAUGUGGAAGGAAGAGACAAUUUUGAAGAAAGAAAUGGCUAAGCAACAUGAAACUGUAGUCAACUCUUGCGGAGAACUUCUGAUUGAUACAAAGUAUGAGCCAUUGAUUCCUAGAGAAGAGAAAUCAGUAUUUCAAAUUCUGUGCUUCAACCUUAAGUGGAAGAGGCUUUUGAUGCUGCUUCUUGUUUGGGUUUCUUUCCUCCUCCUCCAGGUUCUCAAGGUAAGUGAUAAGUCUAUAAUCUCUCUCCACCAUGAUUGCACGUAUCCAUGAUCCCUCUGCUUAUUUUAUUGGUUUGUCAGAAUGAUGUGGCAGUUUGCAGUACAUGGUAUUGGGUGCUCUUUUGUUUACAGGUAACAUAUUAUAUAAUAAACAAGAUGUUCGGUUUUAUAUUUUUUUUUAUGGGGUCAUUUUUUUUUUCAAUGAUUGAUUUUAGUUCUGAUUCUUUUCUUUUUUUUUGGAAUUUAUGUCGUAGUAUGAUUUCUUUUUAAUUUAUAAUAAAUCUCGCAGUUUCCCAUAGCACUUGCAGUGUUUGGAUCUGAAUCAGUCAAAUUAUACGAAGAACAUAAGAAGAGGAUUAUCACAGGCAACACAGAAUCAAUUUGUGAGGCUUCUAUUGAAUGGACCCCAAUGCAUAUUGCUUUCUGUGCACUCUGUGGUAUCUUAGGAGGCACUGUUGGUGGCCUUCUUGGAUCUGGUGGUGGAUUCAUCCUGGGCCCUCUACUCCUUGAGAUUGGUGUCAUCCCACAGGUUUAGUCAUGUUUUCCUGCUAUUAGUUGAAAUAUCAAGCUAGUUAGAUCAGUCAUUGUUUAGUACAAUUACUGUGAUAUGCAAUUAUUCUCUCCUUUCAAGUUUCCCUUCCAGCCAAUAUCAAAUGUAUUACCAUUAUAAAUGAUGUAGAAAGCAUCGUCAUUUUCUAUAGUUUGCUGCAAUUGAGACAUAAAACACCAAAUAAUUGCAGUAAAUUUCUUUGCUUAAAAGUAAUUCCUUUUCCUUAUAAUGCACAUAUACAUAUGAUUUACUAUAGGUUGCCAGUGCAACAGCAACAUUUGUGAUGCUCUUCUCAUCAUCCUUGUCUGUGGUGGAGUUCUAUUUGCUGAAGAGAUUUCCUAUACCCUAUGGUACAUUUCAACUUAUCUCCUUUGUUUGCUUUGAAAUUUAUUAAAUAUCAUGUGAAUGGAAAAUUAUUAUAUGUGUUGUUGGUGAUAUGACAACUUGCCAGUAAAUUCAUUUGUAGCUUUGUAUCUUAUGGCUGUGUCUGCUCUGGCUGGCUUCUGGGGACAGUUCUUUGUAAGGAAGCUAAUUACAAUACUUGGAAGAGCUUCAGUGAUUGUUUUCAUCCUCUCUGGUGUCAUCUUUGCUAGUGCUCUCACCAUGGGAGUCAUUGGAAUUGAGAACAGCAUAACAAUGAUAAACAAUGAUGAGUUUAUGGGAUUCUUAGGAUUCUGCAGAAGUCAAUGAUUGUUGGCAAUGCUCCCUAAAUAGCAAAUUUUGUGAAGCUAGAGAUUAAAUAAAGAUGAACAUGGAGGAAAUGGAUUUUCUAGGAAAAUUCAAGAAAAGCACGUGGAUGGUUGGCCAAUACAUAGUUGACCAACCCAAACACAAAAUUUUCUUUGCAAGAAUAAAGGUUGUGAACUGUUGCAUGUUUGUAUAAUGUUUUGAGAGUUAGCUACUGGUUAACACCAUCACUUCUAGAGUGCAUUAUUGCUUUCCUAAGUUCAUUUGUGUUAGCUCCUGGCUGACACCCCCAUUUCUAUAGACUAUAUUGCUUUUCCGCAUCUGUUGCCUGUUCUUUUAUACAUUUCAAGAAAAAAUUUUUUUGUCAGCAAUU
rnacentral:misc_RNA from 1 species